rnacentral:misc_RNA from 1 species
UACAUGACAGUUUAGCACUCGAUGGUAAAUAAUAGUUCCCUGCUAAGUUGAAUACAUUAUCGAGAUGAAUUUGCCUCUAGGUUUCAUUGGGUAGGUUAAAUUUUGAGCCAAAAGUUGGAAGAAAUCGAUGAAAUAUUGUAUAGGGUCAUGCUUAGUGACUACUUUUUAAUGUACGUUUGCAUUGUAGCUUCUGACACUGUUGGAAAUGGUACUGAAACAGAAAUUUUAGCCACAGAUAAAAAUUUUGUUGAACAUUAUAAUGCUUAAGAUUGAUUUCACGCGUAUCAUGCAGACUAUGUCUCAGAUGCCUGAACCAUCAUAGCAUGUGCAUGCAUUCAUAUCAUGCAUUUGUCAUGAACAGUGGAGUUGAGCCCUUAAGAGCAAUAGUUACUUAAAAUAAGUGCAUUCACUAGGAAAGCAAUUAAAAGAUUUUAAGUUCCAAGCAACUCGGUGUUGUUUAGUGGAUUUCAAUAAUGUGUUUCUGUUAUAGGCUUGACUACCUGGUUGAUCCAGACCCUGAUUGUGGGAAAGAGUGAAGCUUUGCCUCUCAGUAGUCAGAAAUAAGAACAAUAUGUGAGUUAUUUUGACUUGCAAAGUGGCACCUAAUGCCAAUCAGUUGUAAAAACUAGUUGCUUGCCUAUUACCUAAAAGCAUUAAGUUGUGAACUAUUACAAAUAGAAGGACUAGGUAUAGAAAGAAGUGAGAAGAGUAGUUAAAAGAAUGGAGGGAAAAGCUGUUAAUUGAAUGUGAGUUUGUUAGAGGCAGUUAUAAUGUAGCCAGCUGUUAGAUCUGGUGGGAACAAGGAGUAAUCAUUGUAUAACGGAGCUGGAAAGCUCAUAACUGAUAUUCCAAGAUCUUUUAAUAAAAUCUCAGUUCUUUCUCUCAAGUCUCUUUCUCUUUUCUUUCUUUUCCCUUCUCUUUCUUAAUUCUUUCUUCUGUCUUUCUCUGUAAUUGCUAUUUCUUUCAAUAACUGAAAUGUUAGGGUUUCAAUACUAAUAUUUGGUAUUAGAGCUAGAUUGCGACUGGGCUAAGACAUAUAUAUAGUUUUAAUAGAUUGUAAAUUUUAAUUCAAUAAUUUUAUUUUUCAAAGAAAAAAAAUCUAUUAGUUUUACUUCAUUAAUUAUAUUGUUUGUAAAUUUCAAUAUUUUUAUGAUUAGAUAUAUCAUAGACUUAUCACACUUUAUCGUUUUAUCCCAAACAAUUUCAUUUACGUAAUAAUUUUACUUGUUAUUUGAUAUAUUUUACAUAUCAUUCACUUAUAAAUUUGUAUAGGGGAAGAAGAGUGAGAGUAAUAAUAAUGGAUGGAUAGCUUAAUGUCAAACUUGAACUUUAACCUUUUAAAGGUUUAAAUUUCAAAGAAAAAGAGAGAUGGAGGGAGGGAGAGAAAAAAGAUAAGAGAAAAAUAUUAAGGGUAAUGGUUGGAUAGUUUAGUAUGAAACUUGAAACUUAACCUUUCAAAGGUUCAAAGAGAGAGAGAGAGAGAGA